UACGUAGGAGGCAAGCGUUGUCCGGAAUUACUGGGCGUAAAGCGCGUGUAGGUGGUGGGACAAGUCUGCUGUGAAAGCGCCUGGCUUAACCGGGCGAGGUCGGCGGAAACUGCCCGACUCGAGGACGGUAGAGGGGGGUGGAAUUCCCGGUGUAGUGGUGAAAUGCGUAGAGAUCGGGAGGAACACCGGUGGCGAAGGCGGUUCUCUGGGCCUUACCUGACGCUGAGGAGCGAAAGCGUGGGGAGCGAACAGG
rnacentral:rRNA from 1 species